rnacentral:rRNA from 1 species
UGGGGAAUUUUGGACAAUGGGCGCAAGCCUGAUCCAGCCAUACCGCGUGAGUGAAGAAGGCCUUCGGGUUGUAAAGCUCUUUCAGACGGAAAGAAACGGUUACGGCUAAUACCCGUGACUAAUGACGGUACCGUAAGAAGAAGCACCGGCUAACUACGUGCCAGCAGCCGCGGUAAUACGUAGGGUGCGAGCGUUAAUCGGAAUUACUGGGCGUAAAGCGUGCGCAGGCGGUUUGGUAAGACAGAUGUGAAAUCCCCGGGCUUAACCUGGGAACUGCAUUUGUGACUGCCAGACUAGAGUGUAGCAGAGGGGGGUGGAAUUCCACGUGUAGCAGUGAAAUGCGUAGAGAUGUGGAGGAACACCGAUGGCGAAGGCAGCCCCCUGGGUUAACACUGACGCUCAUGCACGAAAGCGUGGGGAGCAAACAGGAUUAGAUACCCGGGUAGUCCCUGAGCGGGCUGGCAAGGCGCAU